rnacentral:ncRNA from 1 species
GUCGGGAGGGCGACGAAUACAACACCCUUAUGGGGAAUAAGUCCGCGGUUUCGUGAAGCCGUUUUGAGCCUCCCGGCACCACCCU